rnacentral:rRNA from 1 species
GAUGAACGCUGGCGGCGUGCAUAACACAUUCAAGUCGAACGAGGUAGCAAUACCUAGUGGCGGACGGGUGAGUAACGCGUGAGCAACCUGCCCUUGUGUGGGGGAUACCGUCUGGAAACGGACGUUAAUACCGCAUAACGUUACGGAAUCGCAUGGUUCUGUAACCAAAGAUUUAUUGCGCAAGGAUGGGCUCGCGUUGGAUUAGAUAGUUGGUGAGGUAACGGCCCACCAAGUCUGCGAUCCAUAGCCGGACUGAGAGGUUGAACGGCCACAUUGGAACUGAGAUACGGUCCAG